rnacentral:tRNA from 1 species
GCACUGGUGGUUCAGUGGUAGAAUUCUUAACUUCCAUGCAAGAGAUGUGGGUUCUAUUCCCAGCCAGUGCA